ensembl:lncRNA
CCCGGGAAGUAAUCACGGUGACACGGGCCGUGCAGAGAACGGAGCCUGAACGCACUAGGAGUGCACGCACACACGCCACCAGCAGCCUCCUCUGCAGCCUUGCCAGCGUUCUCCCUCCACCGCUGACCUCAAGACGGAGAGCUGCCUGACCCCGCCUGGCCCAGCCUGCUGCUGCUAGCUGCCCUGACAUCACCCCCCCUCCCCACUCAUCACCCCGACUCUCGGUGACUCCAGGGUGAAGGCAGGGUGAAGGUGCCUUGGGAUGGGAGCCGAGAUCAAAGAUGCCAAGAAAUCGCCCUGCGCUCCCACCCCCACCCUCCCAGGGCCACCAGACCUCCCUGGCUGGAGGUGUACACAAGGCAGUGCCCAGUAUUAUUAAAAUAAUCAAACAGUCAAUGGGGGCUGGCUCAGGUUUUCAUCUCCACUCCCUCCCUCCUCCUCUCUGAAAUGUAUUAUUUUGAGGGUCGAGUUGAAGAGGUCAAUAGAAGCGUAAACACAGUCAGUAGGUCUUAGCCUGAGCAGACCCAGUUUGGAAAACCAAGAAUUAGUGCUUGGAACAAAUGUCAGGGUUCCUGUUCUGUUUCUCACCCACGUCUCCUUCACCCGGUUCUUUUCUGGGGCUCUGCCUAGAGAUUCAGGCCUGCAAGCCAAGGUCUGGGGAGAGGAACAGAAGGAAGAGAACUGCCCUGGAGAUCUGAGGCCGCCUCGGUGUAAUCCUCUCAGGCCCUUGGAACUAAAAUCCCAAGGCAGGCCUGACACAUCGCUGCAAAAUUCUAGAGUGGAUCGUCCAACCCUAAAAGUGGGACAACCAGGGAGAAAACCAGCUGGAGCAUUUGCUGCAGUUCUCACUCCACCUUCCAGAAUUCUCCAGGGCGACACUCACCUCCAAAAAUCCCACCUCUUCUUUCCAGCGUGGAAGCCGGUGAGUGACGCCUGGCUAGUAAGGGGUUGUUCAGGUGAAGAGUUUAGAAAGGACCCCCCAAAAGAGACCCCCUCUUAGGGCAAGCCUUCUUCCAGCGUCUGUCAAGAGUAGUAUGUACCUCCCAGCUCACAGUUGGUUUGUGGUCUUCGACAAAUUAAUAUUACUGUUUAUUACCAGGCAUACCCCAAUAAAAUAAAGAGGCAACCAGGCGAUACGGGCUAUCUCACCAGCCGCUGCACCUAUAGGACUUGGAGACGUCACGAGUCACGCAACCGAACCGCGAGCUGUCACGCUCAACUGGGGGGCAGCGGCGGGAGGUUGAUUUCUCUCCGUCUUCGCCUAUCACUCCCGGCUGGGGCUGCACAGCCACAAGUCCCAGACGCCUGGACCCCGGGAAUAAAUAAAGAAAUAAACAAAUCUAACGCUCUCUGGGGAAAUGGGGGUGGCGGACCUCAGCCACGAAUAGAGCCAAGAUC